GCUUUCGUGGUGUAACAGUAGCACACUCGGAGUGUAUUCAAAAUGUCCGGGUUCGAAUCCCGGCGAGGACA
rnacentral:tRNA from 1 species